rnacentral:rRNA from 1 species
GUGGGGAAUAUUGGACAAUGGGCGAAAGCCUGAUCCAGCAAUGCCGCGUGAGUGAAGAAGGCCUUAGGGUUGUAAAGCUCUUUUACCCGGGAAGAUAAUGACUGUACCGGGAGAAUAAGCUCCGGCUAACUCCGUGCCAGCAGCCGCGGUAAUACGGAGGGAGCUAGCGGUGUUCGGAAUCACUGGGCGUAAAGCGCACGUAGGCGGCUUUGUAAGUUAGAGGUGAACGCCCGGGGCUCAACUCCGGAACUGCCUUUAAGACUGCAUCGCUUGAAUCUGGGAGAGGUAAGUGGAAUUCCGAGUGUAGAGGUGAAAUUCGUAGAUAUUCGGAAGAACACCAGUGGCGAAGGCGGCUUACUGGACCAGAAUUGACGCUGAGGUGCGAAAGCGUGGGGAGCAAACAGGAUUAGAAACCCUUGUAGUCC